rnacentral:snRNA from 1 species
AUCGCUUCUCGGCCUUUUGGCUAAGAUCAAGUGCAGAAUGUUGUCAAUCUGAUAAGUAAAGUGUAUCUCAAUAUAAUUUAAAAAUCUUCUUUAGUGAGCUAUGAUUUUCAUCUGAUAAAAUGAACUCAUAUUAAUUGUACACUUCAAAGAGUUUUGACAAA